rnacentral:tmRNA from 2 species
GGGGCUGAUUCUGGAUUCGACGGGAUUUGCGAAACCCAAGGUGCAUGCCGAGGGGCGGUUGGCCUCGUAAAAAGCCGCAAAAAAAUAGUCGCAAACGACGAAACCUACGCUUUAGCAGCUUAAUAACCUGCUUAGAGCCCUCUCUCCCUAGCCUCCGCUCUUAGGACGGGGAUCAAGAGAGGUCAAACCCAAAAGAGAUCGCGCGGAUGCCCUGCCUGGGGUUGAAGCGUUAAAACAAAUCAGGCUAGUCUGGUAGUGGCGUGUCCGUCCGCAGGUGCCAGGCGAAUGUAAAGACUGACUAAGCAUGUAGUACCGAGGAUGUAGGAAUUUCGGACGCGGGUUCAACUCCCGCCAGCUCCACCA